rnacentral:rRNA from 1 species
CAAGAGCGUAUAUUAAAGUUGCUGCGGUUAAAAAGCUCGUAGUUGGAUUUCAGUCUAGGAAGGUUAACUCGCCGAAAGGUUGUACGUUGAUUUUCCUCAGACUUCGUCAGAAGCUCGUGCUGCACUUAACGGUGUGGUACGAUGUUCUGACCUUUUACCUUGAGGAAAGUAGAGUGUUUCAGGCAGGCUACCCAGCUUGAAUACAUUAGCAUGGAAUAAUGAAAUGGAUCUCGGUUCGAUUUCGUUGGUUCUAGAGCUGAGGUGAUGAUCAAUAGGAACAGGCGAAGGUAUUCGUACUUGAGAGUGAGGAGUGAAAUCCGAUGAUCUCUUAAAGACGAUCCGAGGCGAAAGCAUUUGUCAAGGAUGUUUUCAUUGA